UGGGGAAUAUUGGACAAUGGGGGCAACCCUGAUCCAGCCAUGCCGCGUGUGUGAAGAAGGCCUUUUGGUUGUAAAGCACUUUAAGCAGGGAGGAGAGGCUAAUGGUUAAUACCCAUUAGAUUAGACGUUACCUGCAGAAUAAGCACCGGCUAACUCUGUGCCAGCAGCCGCGGUAAUACAGAGGGUGCGAGCGUUAAUCGGAAUUACUGGGCGUAAAGCGAGUGUAGGUGGCUCAUUAAGUCACAUGUGAAAUCCCCGGGCUUAACCUGGGAACUGCAUGUGAUACUGGUGGUGCUAGAAUAUGUGAGAGGGAAGUAGAAUUCCCAGGUGUAGCGGUGAAAUGCGUAGAGAUCUGGAGGAAUACCGAUGGCGAAGGCAGCUUCCUGGCAUAAUAUUGACACUGAGAUUCGAAAGCGUGGGUAGCAAACAGGAUUAGAUACCCUGGUAGUCCACGCCGUAAAACGAUGUCUACUAGCCGUUGGGGUCCUUGAGACUUUAGUGGCGCAGUUAACGCGAUAAGU
rnacentral:rRNA from 1 species